GGAGCACUACUGACCCUGCCUUGGGCCUUGCUGCUGCUGCACCCAACUACUGAGCUGAGACCACUGAGUACCAGGCGCUGGGCUCCCUGAUGACACCCACCCUGUGCCAUCACCAUAACCUCUGGGGACCCCAACCUCAGAGGCAGCUUCAAGUGCCUUUUGCUGCGCACCAACGCCCAGCAGGGGAGUUGUGUUGAGACAGAGUCUCACUCUGUUGCCCAGGCUGGAGUACAGUGGUGCAAACACAGUUCACUGCAGUGGCAACCUCCCAGGUUCCAGUGAUCCUCCUGCCUCAGCCCCCUGAGUGGCGGGGACUACAGGUGUGAACACUGUGCCCAGCUAAUUUAUUAAAUUUUGUUGUAGAGA
rnacentral:sRNA from 1 species